rnacentral:rRNA from 1 species
GUUUAUAAGAAUAAAAUUAUAAUAUGGUCUGCCCACUAAAUAUUUUAUUGAAGGGCCGCAGUAUUUUAACUGUGCAAAGGUAGCAUAAUAGUUAGUCUUUUAAUUAGAGUCUUGAAUGAAUGAUUGAAUGAUGGAAAAAUUGUCUUGAAAAUUUAUUUUUAAAAAUUUAUUUUUAAGUGAAAAAGCUUAAAUUAGUUUGGGGGACGAUAAGACCCUUUAAAUCUUAGAUUAUUAGUAUUAUUAUAUUUAAAAUUAAUAAAAUGAAGUUUUAUUAAUAAAUUUAUUGGGGUGAUAUUUAAAAUAAAUAAACUUUAGAAAAAAUUACAUGUUUUAUGAAAAUUAUAAACUUUGUUAAAAAAUUUAAAUGAAGUUACUUUAGGGAUAACAGCGUAAUUUUUUUUGAGAGAUCUUAUUAAUAAAAAAGCUUGCGACCUCGAUGUUGAAUUAAAAUGUUAUUAUGGUGCAGAAGUUAUGAUAGUAAGUCUGUUCGACUUUUAAAAUUUUACAUGAUUUGAGUUCA